GACGAACGCUGGCGGCGUGCUUAACACAUGCAAGUCGAACGAGAAGAGAUGAGAAGCUUGCUUCUUAUCAAUUCGAGUGGCAAACGGGUGAGUAACGCGUAAGCAACCUGCCCUCUAGAUGGGGACAACAGCUGGAAACGGCUGCUAAUACCGAAUACGUUUUUUCUGUCGCAUGGCAGAGGGAAGAAAGGGAGGCUCUUCGGAGCUUUCGCUGGAGGAGGGGCUUGCGUCUGAUUAGCUAGUUGGAGGGGUAACGGCCCACCAAGGCGACGAUCAGUAGCCGGUCUGAGAGGAUGAACGGCCACAUUGGGACUGAGACACGGCCCAGACUCCUACGGGAGGCAGCAGUGGGGAAUCUUCCGCAAUGGACGAAAGUCUGACGGAGCAACGCCGCGUGAACGAUGACGGCCUUCGGGUUGUAAAGUUCUGUUAUACGGGACGAAUGGUGCGACGGUCAAUACCCGUCGUAAGUGACGGUACCGUAAGAGAAAGCCACGGCUAACUACGUGCCAGCAGCCGCGGUAAUACGUAGGUGGCAAGCGUUGUCCGGAAUUAUU
rnacentral:rRNA from 1 species